rnacentral:rRNA from 1 species
UUCUGGGAGGAUUGACUGAUUGAGAGCUCUUUCUUGAUUCGGUGGACGGUGGUGCAUUGGCCGUUCUAAGUUGGUGGAGUGAUUUGUCUGGUUAAUUCCGAUAACGAACGAGACUCUAGCCUAUUAAAUCGGUGCGCGGUUCUCUUAACCUGUGAAAAAGUGGUGAAUCUCCGGCAGACGCAGGACAGGUAACACAGCCAUCGCUUUGACUAGCAGACGUAAAGCAGACGAUGCAAACUGCGCCAACCGCGCUAACCAGACGACGCCGUUAAAGGGUGAGGAGUCUCGCCGCACGCGAUAGGAUGGAACUUGCGGACGCUAACCGCCCU